GAUGAACGCUGGCGGCGUGCCUAAUACAUGCAAGUCGAGCGAAGCGGGGACGGGUGAGUAACACGUGGAUAACCUCCUAUAAGACUGGGAUAACUUCGGGAAACCGGAGCUAACCCGGAUACUGAUCGAUGGAUCCGCGCUUCAUUAGCUAGUUGGUAAGGUAACGGCUGACCAAGGCCACGCUGCAUAGCCGACCUUAGAGGUUGAUCGGCCACACUGUAACUGAGACACGGUCCAGACUCCUACGAGAGGCAGCAGUAGGGAAUCUGCCGCAAUGGGCGAAAGCCUGACGGAGCCACGCCGCGUGAGUGAUGAAGGUCUUCGGAUCGUAAAGCUCUGUUAUUAGGGAAGCGGUACCUAAUCAGAAAGCCACGGCUAACUACGUGCCAGCAGCCGCGGUAAUAC
rnacentral:rRNA from 1 species